CCUACGGGUGGCUGCAGUGGGGAAUAUUGGACAAUGGGCGAAAGCCUGAUCCAGCCAUGCCGCGUGUGUGAAGAAGGCCUUCGGGUUGUAAAGCACUUUCAGUGGGGAAGAAAGCCUUGGGGCUAAUACCCUCGAGGAAGGACAUCACCCACAGAAGAAGCACCGGCUAACUCCGUGCCAGCAGCCGCGGUAAUACGGAGGGUGCGAGCGUUAAUCGGAAUUACUGGGCGUAAAGCGCGCGUAGGCGGUCUGAUAAGCCGGUUGUGAAAGCCCCGGGCUCAACCUGGGAACGGCAUCCGGAACUGUCAGGCUAGAGUGCAGGAGAGGAAGGUAGAAUUCCCGGUGUAGCGGUGAAAUGCGUAGAGAUCGGGAGGAAUACCAGUGGCGAAGGCGGCCUUCUGGACUGACACUGACGCUGAGGUGCGAAAGCGUGGGUAGCAAACAGGAGUAGAUACCCUGGUAGUC
rnacentral:rRNA from 1 species